rnacentral:tRNA from 2 species
UGGAGGAUCGUCUAACGGUAGGACACGGGUCUCUGGAACCCGGUAUGAUGGUUCGAUUCCAUCUCCUCCAGCCA